UGCAAUCACUACUGUAAGUCGCUCUGGAUAAGAGCAUCUGCUAAAUGUCUAAAA
rfam:Salmo salar isolate Sally breed double haploid chromosome ssa25, whole genome shotgun sequence.